CCCUUAGACGUUCUGGGCCGCACGCGCGCUACACUGACCAGUGCAACAAGCAUCCGUCCUUGGCCGACAGGCUCGGGCAAUCUUUGAACGCUGGUCGUGAUGGGGAUAGACUUUUGCAAUUUUUGGUCUUCAACGAGGAAUUCCUAGUAAACGCAAGUCAUCAACUUGCAUUGAUUACGUCCCUGCCCUUUGUACACACUGCCCGUCGCUCCUACCGAUUGAAUGGUCCGGUGAAAUGUUCGGAUCGCGGCAAAUCGGACGGGUAACCGUCAGGUUCGCUGCGAGAAGUUCAUUAAACCUUAUCAUUUAGAGGAAGGAGAAGUCGUAACA
rnacentral:rRNA from 1 species